rnacentral:lncRNA from 1 species
AUCAUUUGAUAUAUUGUGAAAAUACAGUUAUCCACAAUGGAUUACUUUGUCAAAUAAAUGGGUUGCUCUCCGUGUCCUCAACAUUCAGAAUUUUCAUUGAUUUUCCUCUUCUCGGUCUUGAACAGGAGUUGAAUUCCUGGCAAAUGACACCGGAAUCAACACAAGGGCUUUGGGGUUAAGCUGACUAAUCUACGUGUAGCUUGUGAUUAAUCUAAUUGUCUCGGAUACGCAAACACAUGACUACCUGCAGCAGAGCUUACUCUUGAGCCGCUCGGAGCUUAUACUCAUCACUCCUGUAGAACUCUUGUCUAUUCGUCUCUUUUAUCCUCGAACUAUCUCUGCGUUCUCCGUUAGGAUUUGAAGCGACGAUAGAAAUCUCUCACAUGAUGGGUUUUACAGAAAAUCUUUUUCCAGCAAAGUUCUCCUGACAUGGCGUUUUGGCAGUUGUGCUGCGGACAGAAAAUAUUCUCUACUUCGGUAGGAUUACCAAGGUCAUCACAUUAUAAUGUCAAUAGUUAGCUUUAUUGCGUCACUUGGAUCAACGUUCUACUGGACGUUCAUCCAGGCCAAGGUUCGGGCAAUGGGAGGAAUUGAUGAUGCUCGCUCCAAGAAAGGUUUGGACAAAGC